UACGGAGGUGGCAAGCGUUGCUCGGAAUCACUGGGCGUAAAGGGCGCGUAGGCGGGGAGGUAAGUCGGGUGUGAAAUCCCUCGGCCCAACUGAGGAACUGCGCCCGAGACUGCUUCUCUUGAGUCCCGGAGAGGAAGAUGGAAUUCCCGGUGUAGCGGUGAAAUGUGUAGAGAUCGGGAGGAACACCGGUGGCGAAGGCGGGUCUCUGGGCAGUAACUGACGCUGAGGAGCGAAAGCGUGGGGAGCGAACAGG
rnacentral:rRNA from 1 species